rnacentral:rRNA from 1 species
GCUUUUAUAAGGGAAUAAAGUGAGUCUCGUGAGACUUUUUGCAUGUACCUUAUGAAUAAGGACCGGCUAAUUCCGUGCCAGCAGCCGCGGUAAUACGGAAGGUCCGGGCGUUAUCCGGAUUUAUUGGGUUUAAAGGGAGCGUAGGCCGGAGAUUAAGCGUGUUGUGAAAUGUAGAUGCUCAACAUCUGCACUGCAGCGCGAACUGGUUUCCUUGAGUACGCACAAAGUGGGCGGAAUUCGUGGUGUAGCGGUGAAAUGCUUAGAUAUCACGAAGAACUCCGAUUGCGAAGGCAGCUCACUGGAGUGCAACUGACGCUGAAGCUCGAAAGUGCGGGUAUCGAACAGGAUUAGAUACCCUGGUAGUCCGCACGGUAAACGAUGGAUGCCCGCUGUUGGUCUGAAUAGGUCAGCGGCCAAGCGAAAGCAUUAAGCAUCCCACCUGGGGAGUACGCCGGCAACGGUGCAACUCAAAUGAAU